rnacentral:lncRNA from 1 species
GGAUCCUGGGCGGCCGGUGGCUCCGAGAGCGCGCAGUGGAGCCCGAGCUGAGCCGAGCCCGAGCCACCGCAGCCGCCACAUCCCUGAGCGCCGCCCGGGUGCAGGGUCGCUGCGGGAGAGCGACCCCGCGGCCGCCAGGUUUUGCUCUAGAAACCUUCAUCUCUGCAUCCUGGGAGUGGGUAGCUCUGGGUAGCAAAAGCAGCUCCAUGUGCAGAAAGCAGAUCUGUGCAAGGAGAAGUAAGCCCUCAUCUCUCUGAAAAUGGGCCCUUGUUGAUGUAAGUACAUCUUUUUCUGUUUGGGAGAAGAGUAGGGGAAAGCAUAUGUUUCCAAGCAGCACUUCGUGUGUGUGUGUGUGUGUGUGUGUGUGUGUGUGUGUGUGUGUGUGUGUGUGUGCCCUUGGUGACUGGUUCAGAGGCAGGUGAGAUGCAUUAGGCUUAAGGUGAGGCCUAACAUUCUGAUUUCCUGCCACAGGCCCCAUGAUGGCAGAUAGCUGCUGGGCACGACGUAGUGUGGGCCCUCUCUGAGACAGAGUCUGAAGAAGGAACAAAGCACGGGAAACAGCAAACAGUGCACACUUAGUAAGGGUAGACCCAACACAAGAUGUUCAAGCAGAAAUAUACUCAUCAAAACACAGUGUUAUUGCUCUCAUGGGAAAGGGAUGGAGGCAAUGGUGGGCCUGCCUGGCAAUCAUUGCUUUCCAAGCUUAUAUUUCCUGCAGGAAUCCUUAGAUCUAGUCACUUACCCUGUUAUUGAGGAAGAGAAUCAGGGUUGCACGGUACUGACUACCAUGAAGCUGAUACCCAUUCCAAACAUGGCUAAAGGUGAUGGUUUUCUGAAAAGUAAUGUAGUCCCUUUUCACUAUAUGCCUUUCACUUAUAGAGUAAAAUAUAAGGGGCUGGAGAGAUGGCUCAGGGGUGAAAGCAUUUGCUACUCUUGAAGAAGACCAGGGUUCAAUUCCCAGCACCCACCUGGCAGCUCACAACAAUCUGUGGCUCCAGUUCCAGGGCUUCCUCUUCUGGCCCCCAUGGGCAUGUAGUACACGGACAACCAUGCAGGCCCUGGACCCAUACACACAAAAUAAGACAAUGAUACAAUUAUAUAUAUAAAGAAGGAUAAUCAAUACAACUAAAAAUUGCUAGAAAACAAAAAAAUGUUUUAACAUUUUAAGCAUUGAAGAGAAUAAAGUGCCAUUGCCGAGAGAGAGAGAGAGAGAGAGAGAGAGAGAGAGAGAGAGAGAGAGAGAGAGAGAGAGAAUGUGUGGUUUUACUUUGUAUAACUGUGUGUGUGUGUGUGUGUGUGUGUGUGUGUGUGUGUGUGUGUGUGUGUGGUUUUGCUUUGUAUAACUUAGACUCUUCCUAGACCCUGUGGAUGCCCUGGCAGUUCUUCUCAUGACUUAUUGAUGUUGUGAUCAUCUGGACCCUAGUACACCCAACUUUUCUAAUUGCUCAUCCAUUCUUCUGCCUCCUCUAGUUUCUUUGUCUCUGAAGUAACCAUUCUUGUCUUCCCAAAUUUGUAUGAUCCAGUUAGAAGAAAACUCCUUUGUCCUGACGGCAGGGUGAAGUUCAUGACAGAUUUUCCUAAAGCAUCUACCACCAUUGUUCGGCUUCUGUGACCUUUCACUUUCUCCACAUCUCUGGAGAUCAGUAAAAUGUUUCUUCUUUCCUAGGUAUCAGCCUCACCCCUCUUUUGUUGUUGUUGUUGUUUGGGUUUUUGUUGCUGUUUGUUGUUUGUUUGUUUUUGUUUUUCAAGACAGGGUUUCUCUGUGUGGCCUUGUGUCUAGCAACUUGCUCUAAAAGUCAGGGUGGCCUUGAACUCUGAGUUCUACAUCCCUCUGCCUCAGAGAAGGCCCACACUUAUACCACGCUCAGCAGCUGUCUGGCAUGAUAGGGUCUGUGGUAGGAAAUCAGAAUAUUGGACCUCACUCCAAGCCUAUUGUACCUUGCCUGCCACUGAACCAGAUGCCAAGGGCACAUGUGUACACCUGAGCUUUGAAGUGUUGCUUGGGAACCUAUGGUUUUCCCUGCUUUUUUCCCAAGUAGUGCUGAGAUUAAAGGUAUGUACCAACCAACACACACCAGCAGUUUCCCUGUAACAAUACAGCAUUCGUAUAAAGGGCUGUUCAGUUUAAAGCAACCCCAUAGACUUAGUCUCCUAGGACUGAAGUUGCACAAAUAGGAAAAAGCAAUGCAUGCUGUGUCUUGUCCUCCACCUUUUG